UAUGUACAUAGGUCGGAACAUCUAGUCAUUGUAGCUUUUUUUUAAUGUUUUUAUUUAUUUGUAAUACAAAUGACAAAUGACUGCCAAUGACAAUCGAAGCACAAACAUUUUUACAAAUAUAAUUGUUUGUAUCAGCUAGGAUCAGUGUAAAGUAUUCGCGGCCACUUACAGCCGGAGAUUCAACGUAAUUACAAUCGUCAGGCAAUUGGAGCAGUAGUGGUGUUAAACGACGCGGACGAAAAGAGGGGAACAGAGGAGUCAAGCUAGCCAAGCAGUGAUUCUGAGUCCACAAACCCAACUAGGAACUUGUGUACAAAAAUAGCGCCGUUACAAAUUCUGCAAUGGCGCAAUGAAAGAAGGUCUAAAAGUUGAAGCCUCAAUUGAUAAGGUGGUAAGAUUCUAUUCGAGUCCCAGUUUAAAUUACGUAAGGCAAAAAUUUAAAAUUGUUUUGAACCGAUUCGAGAAUGGCUUGUUGCUCCUUAUACUGUGGACUCCACACAAGAGGACAAGAGCAAUAUUACAGAACCGGACGAACUAAGGAGACGUGCAGCGUUUUGGUGACAUACGGGUCGUCAAACUCUUUGGACAAACGCUUUAUAAACGCUAGAACACCCUUAGCUUUAUUUACAGUUGCAGCUAUAUGGUUAUUAAAACACAGUAUAUGAUCAAAAAGAACUCCAAGGUCAUUUGAACUCGAAAUUUGUUGGAGGGCAUGAUUUUCUAAAGCGUACGAGACAAAGUGUGGAGUGCGACGGUAAAAAGUCAUAAGUUUGCAUUUAGAAAGGUUCAGAAAGAGGAGAUUUGUUGAACACCAAAUUUGCAACUCGUUUUGGUUGAUUUGAAGGUGUGGGUGUAGGUACCAAUCAGAGUAGGAGAGAUAGAUUUUAACAUCGUCAGCGUAGAAGAGUAUGUUAGAACUUGAGGAAGGUCACACUCAAUAAAAUGAUCAGAAGUAGACCUAAGUGACUUCCUUGUGGCACUCCUGAUGUAACAUUAACGAUAUUCGACAACACAUUAGUAAACAAAACACGGUGUGUGCGGUUAGAAAGAUCCAGUUUAGAAGAUAACUGGGGAAAAAAUUAAAGAAAGCUUGUGAAUGAGCAGAGAAUGGUUCACGGAGUCAAAAGCUUUGCUAAAAUCCGUGAAAAUUACGUCAGUUUGGAGUAAGUUUUGAAAUCCUCGGUUAAUUGCAGAAGAGAACUCGAGAAGGUUUGUCGAUGUUGAUCGAUGUUUAAAAAAAUCGUGUUGGGAUGGAGAAAUAAGAGUACUGCAAUUACCUGGUGACAAGAAACUCAAGCAGCUUCGGGAUGGCGGAAAGCUUUGCAAUACCUCGGUAGUUCUCCAUGUGUGAUCUUGAACUUUUUUGUGAAGCUGAUGUAGGAUUUGUUCCAAAUCACUGGUAGACAAGACCGUUCCAAUGUUAGGUUUAAAAGAAAGAUCAAGUGUUGGCAUAAGUACUGCGCACAGUGUUUUAAAAUACAACUUGGUACCUUGUUUGGACCCAUCGGGAAUGAUAUGUCAAUCGUUGACAAACCUUCUAGAACAUCACUCUUCCCAAAGAAAGGUAGAAAAAUGCUGUUGGCAUGAGGUAAAUGGUAGGUAUACGGAGUGGAUGCGUGGUAGAUACGUGACGAGUACUCUGAUUGCAAGGACUUACGUCUAGAAUUUACGAACGAAUAGAAUUUUUUUUGGAUCACUACGGAAAUUUUUACUACAUCGGGAAAGGUAUUGAUUAUAAAACAGACUAUUAACAGUAAGGAAUUGAGAACGAGCGGAGGAAUAUUGGGUGAAGACAGACAUACAUCCAGUAUUCUAAUACUUUUUAAAGAGCACAGUUGUUCUAUUCAUUAAAUAACACAAAUUCUUGGAGAACUGAGCUUUUUCAGUAGCGUUGUUUUGCAAGGUUGUUAAAGAGACGAUAGCUGUUCAGUUAAUAUAUUCAGGGUUUAUUGUAGCUUAGUUUAUUAUAUAUGUAGUAUCCAAGUACAGCGAAAGGUAAUAGAUUUGAUAGAUAGU